rnacentral:rRNA from 1 species
AGUGAACGCUGGCGGUAGGCCUAACACAUGCAAGUCGAACGGCAGCACAGUAAGAGCUUGCUCUUACGGGUGGCGAGUGGCGGACGGGUGAGGUAUACAUCGGAAUCUACUUUUUCGUGGGGGAUAACGUAGGGAAACUUACGCUAAUAACGCAUACGACCUACGGGUGAAAGCAGGGGAUCUUCGGACCUUGCGCGAUUGAAUGAGCCGAUGUCGGAUUAGCUAGUUGGCGGGGUAAAGGCCCACCAAGGCGACGAUCCGUAGCUGGUCUGAGAGGAUGAUCAGCCACACUGGAACUGAGACACGGUCCAGACUCCUACGGGAGGCAGCAGUGGGGAAUAUUGGACAAUGGGCGCAAGCCUGAUCCAGCCAUACCGCGUGGGUGAAGAAGGCCUUCGGGUUGUAAAGCCCUUUUGUUGGGAAAGAAAAGCAGCAGGUUAAUACCCCGCUGUUCUGACGGUACCCAAAGAAUAAGCACCGGCUAACUACGUG